UGGCUCAGUGGAUAGAGCAUUGGCCUGCAGACCCAAGGGUUCCAGGUUCGAUUCUGG
rfam:Myotis davidii contig129719, whole genome shotgun sequence.